rnacentral:rRNA from 1 species
CCUACGGGAGGCAGCAGUCGGGAAUAUUGCGCAAUGGACGAAACUCUGACGCAGCGACGCCGCGUAUAGGAAGACGGUUUUCGGAUUGUUAACUUUCGUUUUUAGGGGAGUAAAAAGACUGUACCUAAGGAGGAAGCAUCGGCUAAAUAUGUGCAAGCAGCCGCGGUAAUACAUAGGGGGCGAGCGUUAUCCGGAAUUCUUGGGUUUAAAGGGUGCGUAGACGGAAGUAGAAGUUGGUUGUGAAAUCCCUCGGCUGAACUGAGGAACUGCAGCCAAAACUAUUGUCCUUGAGUGUCGGAGAGGAAGGUGGAAUUCCAGGUGUAGCGGUGAAAUGCGUAGAUAUUAGGAGGAACACCAGGGGCGAAGGCGACUUUCUGGACGAUAACUGACGUUGAGGCACGAAAGUGUGGGGAGCAAACAGGAUUAGAUACCCUGGUAGUC